CAUGGCUCAGGAUGAACGCUGGCGGCGUGCUUAACACAUGCAAGUCGAACGAAGCAACCUAUUACGAUCCCUUCGGGGUGACGAUUGUUGACUGAGUGGCGGACGGGUGAGUAACGCGUGGGUAACCUGCCUUGUACAGGGGGACAACAGUUGGAAACGACUGCUAAUACCGCAUAAGCGCACAGCUUCGCAUGAAGCAGUGUGAAAAGUUAUUUCGGUACAAGAUGGACCCGCGUCUGAUUAGCUAGUUGGUGAGGUAACGGCCCACCAAGGCGACGAUCAGUAGCCGACCUGAGAGGGUGACCGGCCACAUUGGGACUGAGACACGGCCCAAACUCCUACGGGAGGCAGCAGUGGGGAAUAUUGCACAAUGGGCGAAAGCCUGAUGCAGCGAACCGCCGCGUGAGCGAAGAAGUAUUUCGGUAUGUAAAGCUCUAUCAGCAGGGAAGAUAAUGACGGUACCUGACUAAGAAGCACCGGCUAACUACGUGCCAGCAGCCGC
rnacentral:rRNA from 1 species